UACGAAGGGGGCUAGCGUUGCUCGGAAUCACUGGGCGUAAAGCGCACGUAGGCGGCUUCUUAAGUCAGGGGUGAAAUCCUGGAGCUCAACUCCAGAACUGCCUUUGAUACUGGCAACCUUGAGUCCGGGAGAGGUGAGUGGAACUGCGAGUGUAGAGGUGAAAUUCGUAGAUAUUCGCAAGAACACCAGUGGCGAAGGCGGCUCACUGGCCCGGUACUGACGCUGAGGUGCGAAAGCGUGGGGAGCAAACAGG
rnacentral:rRNA from 1 species